AUUGAACGCUGGCGGCAGGCCUAACACAUGCAAGUCGAACGAGUGGCGGACGGGUGAGUAAUGUCUGGGAAACUGCCUGAUGGAGGGGGAUAACUACUGGAAACGGUAGCUAAUACCGCAUACCAUCAGAUGUGCCCAGCUGGGAUUAGCUAGUAGGUGGGGUAACGGCUCACCUAGGCGACGAUCCCUAGCUGGUCUGAGAGGAGGACCAGCCACUAUGGAACUGAGACACGGUCCAGAACCCUACGGGAGGCAGCAGUGGGGAAUAUGGCACCAUGGGCGCAAGCCUGAUGCAGCCAUGCCGCGUGUAUGAAGAAGGCCUUCGGGGUGUAAAGCACUUUCAGCGGGGAGGCGUUACCCGCAGAAGAAGCACCGGCUAACUCCGUGCCAGCAGCCGCGGUAAUAC
rnacentral:rRNA from 1 species